rnacentral:rRNA from 1 species
AUUGAACGCUGGCGGCAUGCUUUACACAUGCAAGUCGAACGGCAGCGCGGGGCCACCUGGCGGCGCGUGGCGGACGGGUGAGUACUACCUCGGAACGUACCCAGAAGUGGGGGAUAACGUAGCGAAAGUUACGCUAAUACCGCAUACGUUCUACGCAAGUAAGAGUGGGACCUUCGGGCCUCAUGCUUUUGGAGCGGCAGUUGUCUGAUUAGCUAGUUGCUGAGGUAAAGGCUCCCCAAGGCGACGAUCAGUGGCUGGUCUGAGAGGACGACCAGCCACACUGGGACUGAGACACGGCCCAGACUCCUACGGGAGGCAGCAGUGGGGAAUUUUGGACAAGGGGCGCAAGCCUGAUCCAGCAAGGCCGCGUGAGUGAAGAAGGCCUUCGGGUUGUAAAGCUCUUUUGUCAGGGAAGAAACGGCUGAGGAUAAUACCUUCGGCUAAUGACGGUACCUGAAGAAUAAGCACCGGCUAACUACGUG